UCGGACUGCAGUCUGCAACUCGACUGCACGAAGCUGGAAUCGCUAGUAAUCGCGGAUCAGCACGCCGCGGUGAAUACGUUCCCGGGCCUUGUACACACCGCCCGUCACACCAUGGAAGUCUGCAAUGCCCGAAGCCGGUGGCCUAACCACUUAUGUGGAAGGAGCCGUCUAAGGCAGGGCAGAUGACUGGGGUGAAGUCGUAACAAGGUAGC
rnacentral:rRNA from 1 species